rnacentral:rRNA from 1 species
GUGAACUAUGCUUGGCGAAGACGAAGCCCCAGGAAACUGUGGUGGAAGUCUGUAGCCGUUUUGACGUGCAAAUCAAUGGUGUCAGCUGAGCAUAGGGGCGAAAGACCAAUCGAACUAUCUAGUAGCUGGUUCCAUUCGAAGUUUCUCUCAGGAUAGCUUGCGUGACAUUAACGCUAUGAGUCUGGACUCUUCGGUACACGAAAGCGUGCUGGUAGUCCGUCCCACUUUGUCUGCAGUUGUUGAGAGUUGACGUAGCCAAGAACUUUGUCAUCUCACUCUCUAGUCGCCAGGGUAGCGUAUCAUUUGACCGUGAGCAGUUACGUCUGGUAAAGAGAAUGAGUAGAGUUAGCUCGUUGCUUUCUAUAGCAACAGCAGCGGGGCGUCCUACGCCUCGCACUAUUAUCAAACUUUAAAUGGGCGAGGUACCCGGUAUUUUCUUAAUUGCUUGAUACCGGGGCGAAACACGUCUUGGCUUUACCGUCGAGGCGAAGGUGAAUGCGUGCGCGCAAAGUGGGUCCUUUCUGGUAAGCAGAACUGAUAAUGAGGGAUGAACCUAACGCAUGUGCUAAGGGGCCAAAGAGACAGCUAUUUCUCGAAACCAUUGGAAAGGUGUUGCUUGCUGAAGACAGCAGGACGGUGGUCAUGGAAGUCGAUAUCCGCUAAGGAGUGUGUAACUACUCAUCCUGCCGAAGCGAGUAACCCUGAAAAUGGAUGGCUCUAUAGCUCUCUCCCGAUGCACGGCCGUCAGUAGCACUUGAGUCACCUCGUGUCUCUACGCUCUGACGAGUAGAAUGGUUGUGCUGCAUUGCGUUGACGGCUAUCGCGUGAGCGUGGUCUGAGCGUGCAGCAGUACAGAUCUUGGUGGUAGUAGCAAGUACUCUGGUGAAUAACCUUGAGCUGUGAGGUUGAUAAGGGUUCCAUGUCAACAGUGUUUGUACAUGGGUAAGUCGGUCCUAAGCCCCCAUUAUUCUUAAUGGUGAUUGCGAUCGCCCGAGAGUUAUGGUGUCUGUAGUGGAGUCAGAGUGAGAGCCCGCGCUCUCUCUUUGUAUGUGCGUCGUGUCUGUCGCACACCUUUUGUGCGUGAACAGGGGCACAGGUGUGUUGUUGUACUCGGGGAGAGGUGAAUGUGUGUGUGAACGGUAGCGUUUUUCUCUUUGAGAAGUGGCCGCUGUGACCUAGUAACACACAUCGUUCGUAAUCUCACUGAAAUACGAUGCUAUCGAUGCUCUCUUAAUAGUGCAUGGGGUUUGCGCGUGAUACGUUAAGACACUACACUUUCGCGUCGCUCGGCGAAAGGGAAUUGCGGACUCAGUUCGUAAACCACACCUGGUACCCUGAGACGGUUCACCGUUUCACGGACCUGGCAAGAGCUUGCCAGGCCAGUCGCUGUCAUAAGUAGCUCGGCGGGGAGAUUUCUUCUCUCUUUGAUAUAGAUACGUGUCCUGAAAGCACCUCGAGUGGCGGAAGGUCAACGCUAUCUAGCAGAGUACUCUACUCCCUCGAGUAGAUAACGAUGCUGCUUGUGAUCCGUGAAAAGGUGGUCGAGGGGAAAGUAUGGGACAAUAAGCACCCACAAUGCUACAAAAGCAAACGAGAACAAGACUGUGUGUGUGUGUAAGCCCGCGCUUACUCCCACACGACUUGUGUUUUUGUGCGCCGCGUAUCUGUGUUGUGU